rnacentral:rRNA from 1 species
UACGGGGGGAGCAAGCGUUGUUCGGAUUUACUGGGCGUAAAGGGCGCGUAGGCGGCCACCGCAAGUCGACUGUGAAAUCUCCGGGCUUAACCCGGAAAGGUCAGCCGAUACUGCGGGGCUAGAGUGCAGAAGGGGCAACUGGGAAUUCUCGGUGUAGCGGUGAAAUGCGUAGAUAUCGAGAGGAACACCUGCGGCGAAGGCGGGUUGCUGGGCUGACACGUGACGCUGAGGCGCGAAAGCUAGGGGAGCGAAUGGG